rnacentral:rRNA from 1 species
CCUACCGGAGGUAGCGGUGAGGAAUAUUGGGCAAUGGAUGCAACUCUGACCCAGCCAUGCCGCGUGCAGGAAGACGGCCCUCUGGGUUGAAAACUGCUUUUAUACCGGAAGAAACCCAUCCACGUGUCGGAAUGUGAGGGUACUGUAAGAAUAAGCACCGGCUAAUUCCUCGCCGCUGCCCGCGGUAAUA